ACCUGAAGUCAAGCAAGGCGACCCGCUGAACUUAAGCAUAUCAGUAAGCGGAGGAAAAGAAACUAACAAGGAUUGCCCCAGUAAUGGCGAAUGAAAAGGCAAAAGCUCAGACUGAAAAUCCGAGGUACAAAGCCGAGGAGUUGUAGUCUAGAGACUGAGACGGAAGUGAAGGCUGUUGCAUAAGUCCCUUGAAACAGGGCGCGAGACAGGGUGAUAGCCCCGUAGUCGGCAACGGCCUAACGUACGUCAAAAGUCAAAGAGUCGGGUAGUUUGGGAAUGCUGCCCAAAAUGGGAGAUAAACUUCUUCUAAAGCUAAAUACCGGUGGGAGACCGAUAGCGAACAAGUACUGUGAAGGAAAGAUGAAAAGAACUUUGAAAAGAGGGUUAAAAGAUUUGAAAUCGUUGAAAAGGAAGCGGUAGAAGAGCAAUUAGUCGGCUUAGAUAUUGCUGAGAGAGUGCCGGUCUGCGGGGUCUAAGUACUUCAUCAGGCGUAAGCCUCGUAGAUAACGGUGCUUUGCAGCCUCUUCUAGGUCGAAAGGCAAAAUGAGUUAACUGGGUCGGAUUCGUGCGCUGGACGUGUGACAGUAGCAAAAACGAUGCAGUUGACUGAGGGUUCUGAGGAAGAUUUUGUCAAAAUGGCUUCUACCGACCCGUCUUGAAACACGGACCAAGGAGUCUAUCCCAUAUGCGAGUCUUAGGGAGGAAAAACCCGAAGGCGCAGCGAAAGCAAGUACAAGAUGCGAUGGGCAACCUGCAGCAUCGGCCGAUCCAGAUCAUUAGAGACGGACUCGAGCAAGAGCAUAUUUGAUAGGACCCGAAAGAUGGUGAACUACGCUUGAGUAGGGCGAAGCCAGGGGAAACUCUGGUGGAGGCUCGAAGCAAUACUGACGUGCAAAUCGUUUGUCAAACUUGAGUGUAGGGGCGAAAGACUAAUCGAACCAUCUAGUAGCUGGUUCCCUCUGAAGUUUCUCUCAGGAUAGCAGGAACAGUAUGCGCAGUUUUAUUAGGUAAAGCGAAUGAUUAGAGGAAUCGGAGAACAAAGUUCUUUGACCUAUUCUCAAACUUUAAAUUGGUAAGAUCCGGCUGGUUUUCUUAAUUGAACCAUCGGAAUGAAUGCGUUGUUCUUAGUGGGCCGUUUUUGGUAAGCAGAACUGGCGAUGAGGGAUGAACCUAACGUUGAGAUAAGGCGCCAAAAUUCACGCUCAUGAGAAACCAGAAAAGGUGUUGGUUCAUUUAGACAGCAGGACGGUGGCCCUGGAAGUCGGAACCCGCUAAGGAGUGUGUAACAACUCACCUGCCGAAUGAACUAGCCCUGAAAAUGGAUGGCGCUGCAGCGUGAUGCCGAUACUCAACCAUUGAAGCAAAUAUGAGGCUUCAAUGAGUAAGAGGGCGUGGGCUCGGUAUGGAAGGCUAAUUCGUGAGAAUGGCUGGAACUGGGUCUAGUGCAGAUCUUGGUGGUAGUAGCAAAUAUUCAAAUGAGAACUUUGAAGACCGAAGUGGGGAAGGGUUCCAUGAGAACAGCAAUUGGUCAUGGGUUACUCGAUCCUAAGUCAUAGGGAAGCUCCUUGCAAUCCAAGAGGACGUACGUCCUCGGUGACAAAAGAGAAUGAGGUUAAUAUUCCUCAAGCUGGAUGUGGAUUGGUGGCGACACAAACGAGCUUGGAAACAUCGGUGGGAACCCCUGGAAGAGUUAUCUUUUCUUUUUAACUACUUAUGACCGUGAAAUUGGAUUAUCCAGAGAUACGGUUGAAAGGUAGGCAGAGCAGUUCACUCUAAGAACUGUCAGGUGCGUUCUCGACGAUCCUUGAAAAUCCAAGUAAGGGUUUAAUACCACACCAGAUCGUACCCAUAACCGCAUCAGGUCUCCAAGGUU
rnacentral:rRNA from 1 species